UUAUGUGAUGCACAUUGUAACAAAACCAGUAGUGUGUGAGUUAUCGCAUCAUUUCCUGUUCUGACAGGAAGAAGAAACCAGUGCCAUUACUGCAUUCUCAUCGUGCCAUUCGCUGAAGACGCUGGAGAGCGACCGCACACGGCCGGACACACGUGACGCUAGCGUGAAGAGCACCGAGACAUCGAGUCCUGCACACACACACCAGUGUGUGACGGUGGUGUAUUGUUACGAUGGAGAGCUGGUCCCGUACAGGACGUGUGUUCAGGGAGUCUCCGCGGUCACUCUCGGCCUCUUCAAGUCUCUGCUGACGCGCAGGGGCUCGUUCAGGUUCUUCUUCAAGAGAGCGAGCGCUGAGUUCGACUGCGGAGCGGUUCAUGAGGAGGUACGAGAGGACCACGCCGUCCUGCCCACGUUUGACCACAAAAUCAUGGCCAGAGUGGAGAGAAUGACCAAAACAACGAUCACAAACCUCUGAACACAAGCACUGUUCUGAACAAACUCUGUCUGAUUUAACUCUAUAUGCGCUUGAGUUUCAGUGUGCUGCUUUUGAAUAAAGUCAUUCAUUCAUGUUUCUUCUCAUAUCACCCUACAGUCAUAUUACAGUCCACAAUAAAAGUCUGAGAUCUCUUCUUACUCUCCAUCUGUGAGUGUUGCUUCUAUACUCUAUUAUCAUAUAUCUAUAUGCAUCUUUAUUAUGAAUUAUAAACACUGUUGUUGAAAGGUUUAG